rnacentral:rRNA from 1 species
GCGCCGAAGAUUUCCGGGGCUAAAACUUACUACCGAAGCUACGGCAUCAGUAAUGAUGGGUAGGGGAGCGUCCCAUACGGGUUGAAGCAUGACCGUAAGGACAUGUGGACAGUAUGGGAGUGAGAAUGUUGGCAUGAGUAGCGAGAUGUGGGUGAGAAUCCCACAGGCCGUAAACCCAAGGUUUCCAGGGGAAGGUUCGUCCGCC